ACCCCCGGUGGUGGGCGGCGGACCCGCCGG
rnacentral:antisense_RNA from 1 species